AACGUCAACUGUAAAUGGAGCCAACCGUCUACAGGAGGGCGGAAAGUCGACCAAUCAAGUAUGCUGUCAUGAUGUCAAACAAAUUGUAUUUGGGAACAAAGCUUUGGACGCAAGACCAGUCAACUAUUGUCAGUUUGCUAUCCGGGCGGGUGGAGGUAGGGUGGGAGGCCCACACCUCCAGAGGAAGACACCGGCACCCUCGAUGUUGAGGCCCGAUAUGAAGAAAACCAAAACACGAGUUACAACUGCUAUCGGUACACAAGAGUGAUGAUGGUAGGAUGACUCAACAGACCCCACAAUUUAUCAUGAGGAAAAGUUACACAGAUGGAGGCACUUCAAACAGUUGGCAUGGACAGCGAGCUCGACAUGACCGCAUCGACAACAGUCACAAGAAAGAGAUGAACUUGGACGGCAGUAGAAUUGACAGCAUCACCUUAAAAUCAACGCAAUCUAUGAUCUCAAGAAAACCGGAACCAGUGCAUAUAUGCUUGACAAUCAGUCUAUAGUUCAAGGAAUUUCUUGGUACUAAUUGUAAUUAAUGGCCAUUGGCCAUGCAAACAAUAUCAUACAAGAUUAGCAGUAUUACAAAACAUAAUGUUUGUGCUUGAAUGUAUCACCAAGAUAGCCUGAGUAUCAUCCGUAUUCUACCGGGGCUCCUUACACUCGCUAUCCCUAAAAAAUAGGGAAGUGAGUGUAAGGAGCCCCGGUAGAAAUAGGAUGGUACCCAGGCUAUCACCAAGAUCCAACUGUUGUAAAACACAAUAACUACUGGUCCUGUUCUGCAAGGUUUUUAUAUCCAAUAUGUUUUAUGCCUUCCGAUGUAAAAUAAGUUGAAUAUGUAUGUUGAUGAAAUAAAGGUAUUAUGCAAUUGUGUG